UACGUAGGUGGCAAGCGUUAUCCGGAAUUAUUGGGCGUAAAGAGCGCGCAGGUGGUUGAUUAAGUCUGAUGUGAAAGCCCACGGCUUAACCGUGGAGGGUCAUUGGAAACUGGUCGACUAGAGUGCAGAAGAGGGAAGUGGAAUUCCAUGUGUAGCGGUGAAAUGCGUAGAGAUAUGGAGGAACACCAGUGGCGAAGGCGGCUUCCUGGUCUGUAACUGACACUGAGGCGCGAAAGCGUGGGGAGCAAACAGGAUUAGAUACCCU
rnacentral:rRNA from 1 species